rnacentral:rRNA from 1 species
UUGAUAGUACCUUACUACUUGGAUAACCGUGGUAAUUCUAGAGCUAAUACAUGCUAAAAACCCCAACUUCGGGAGGGGUGUAUUUAUUAGAUAAAAAACCAAUGCCCUUCGGGGCUCCCUUGGUGAUUCAUGAUAACUUCUCAGAUCGCAUGGCUUUACGCCGGCGACGGUUCAUUCAAAUUUCUGCCCUAUCAACUUUCGAUGGUAAGGUAGUGGCUUACCAUGGUUUCAACGGGUAACGGGGAAUUAGGGUUCGAUUCCGGAGAGGGAGCCUGAGAAACGGCUACCACAUCCAAGGAAGGCAGCAGGCGCGCAAAUUACCCAAUUCCGAUACGGAGAGGUAGUGACAAUAAAUACUGAUACAGGGCUCUUUUGGGUCUUGUAAUUGGAAUGAGUACAAUUUAAACCUCUUAACGAGGAACAAUUGGAGGGCAAGUCUGGUGCCAGCAGCCGCGGUAAUUCCAGCUCCAAUAGCGUAUAUUAAAGUUGUUGCAGUUAAAAAGCUCGUAGUUGAACCUUUGGCCUGGCUGGCAGGUCCGCCUCACCGCGUGCACUUGUCCGGCCGGGCCUUUUCUUCUGGAGAACCGCAUGCCCUUCACUGGGUGUGUUGGGGACCAGGACUUUUACUUUGAAAAAAUUAGAGUGUUCAAAGCAGGCCUUUGCUCGAAUACGUUAGCAUGGAAUAAUAGAAUAGGACGUGCGGUCCUAUUUUGUUGGUUUCUAGGACCGCCGUAAUGAUUAAUAGGGACAGUCGGGGGCAUCAGUAUUCAAUUGUCAGAGGUGAAAUUCUUGGAUUUAUUGAAGACUAACUACUGCGAAAGCAUUUGCCAAGGAUGUUUUCAUUAAUCAGUGAACGAAAGUUAGGGGAUCGAAGACGAUCAGAUACCGUCGUAGUCUUAACCAUAAACUAUGCCGACUAGGGAUCGG